UUGGAAUCAAUUGUUGUUGGA
ensembl:piRNA 21ur-3904 ncRNA